rnacentral:rRNA from 1 species
UAUGUGAUCGUCUCUCGCAUAUCAAUAAGCGGAGGAAAAGAAACUAACAAGGAUUCCCCUAGUAACGGCGAGUGAAGCGGGAAGAGCUCAAAUUUGAAAUCUUAAAGGGUUUCCCUUUACGAAUUGUAGUUUAAAGAAGUGUCUUCUGUUGAGGUUUUGGUAAAAGUUCUUUGGAAUAGGACAUCAUAGAGGGUGAGAAUCCCGUAUUUGACCUUUACUUUCAACUUUGUGAUACACUUUCAAAGAGUCGGAUUGUUUGGGAAUGCAGUCCAAAAUGGGUGGUAAAUUUCAUCUAAAGCUAAAUAUUGGCGAGAGACCGAUAGCGAACAAGUACCGUGAGGGAAAGAUGAAAAGAACUUUGAAAAGAGAGUUAAGCAGUACGUGAAAUUGUCAAAAGGGAAGCGUUUGACACCAGUGUUGUUUUUCUGAAAAUCAAUUAAAGAACUGUUUAUGCUAAGUUGUUUAGACUUUAUCAGCUAAUCUGUUUAGUUUUAGGCUUUUCUUUAAUGCACUUUUCAGUUAACAAGUCAACAUCAAUUUCUUUUGCUGUAAAAAAGCUUGAGGAAGGUGGCUUGAGAUUCGUCUUAAGUGUUUAUAGCCUCUUGCCUAUGCAGUCGGAGAGAUUGAGGUCUGCAGCGUAGAUCCUUCGGGGCUAAAUGCAUUUGUGCUAAGUUAUAGCAUUUUAUAGACAACUUGUUGACUAUGAUUUGUCUUGUAGCUUACUCGCUUAUGUUAUUUUACCUACGCUUAGGAUGUUGAUCUACAGAGCGAGAGU